AGUGAACGCUGGCGGUAGGCCUAACACAUGCAAGUCGAACGGCAGCACAGUAAGAGCUUGCUCUUACGGGUGGCGAGUGGCGGACGGGUGAGGAAUACAUCGGAAUCUACUUUUUCGUGGGGGAUAACGUAGGGAAACUUACGCUAAUACCGCAUACGACCUACGGGUGAAAGCAGGGGAUCUUCGGACCUUGCGCGAUUGAAUGAGCCGAUGUCGGAUUAGCUAGUUGGCGGGGUAAAGGCCCACCAAGGCGACGACCCGUAGCUGGUCUGAGAGGAUGAUCAGCCACACUGGAACUGAGACACGGUCCAGACUCCUACGGGAGGCAGCAGUGGGGAAAAUUGGACAAUGGGCGCAAGCCUGAUCCAGCCAUACCGCGUGGGUGAAGAAGGCCUUCGGGUUGUAAAGCCCUUUUGUUGGGAAAGAAAAGCAGCAGGUUAAUACCCCGCUGUUCUGACGGUACCCAAAGAAUAAGCACCGGCUAACUUCGUG
rnacentral:rRNA from 1 species